rnacentral:rRNA from 1 species
AGAGUUUGAUCCUGGCUCAGGAUGAACGCUAGCGGCAGGCUUAAUACAUGCAAGUCGAGGGGCAGCGCAGUGUAGCAAUACAUGGGCGGCGACCGGCAAACGGGUGCGGAACACGUACGCAACCUUCCUUCAAAUGGGGAAUAGCCUUUCGAAAGAGAGAUUAAUACCCCGUAACAUUUUCUGGUGGCAUCACCGGAUUAUUAUAGCUCCGGCGUUUGAAGAUGGGCGUGCGGCUGAUUAGGUAGUUGGCGGAGUAACAGCCCACCAAGCCAACGAUCAGUAACUGGUGUGAGAGCACGACCAGUCACACGGGCACUGAGACACGGGCCCGACUCCUACGGGAGGCAGCAGUAAGGAAUAUUGGUCAAUGGACGCAAGUCUGAACCAGCCAUGCCGCGUGGAGGAUGAAGGUCCUCUGGAUUGUAAACUUCUUUUAUCGGAGAAGAAACCCUAGCAUUCCUGCUGGGUUGACGGUACCCGAUGAAUAAGCACCGGCUAACUCCGUGCCAGCCGCCGCGGUAA